rnacentral:rRNA from 1 species
AAUGAACGUUGGCGGCGUGGAUUAGGCAUGCGAGUCGUGCGAGAACCGUAGCAAUACGGGGACAGCGGCGAAAGGGAGAGGAAUACGUGGAUACCUACCCUCAGGUUCAGGAUAGCUAUGGGAAACUAUAGGUAAUACUGAAUAAUAUCUCCGGAUCCAAGGUGUGAUUCCACCUGAGGAGGGGUCCGGGUCCUAUUAGCUAGUUGGUGUGGUAACGGCGCACCAAGGCGAAGAUGGGUACGGGAUGUGAGAGCAUAAUCCCGCUCAUUGGGACUGAGACACUGCCCAGACACCUACGGGUGGCUGCAGUCGAGAAUCUUCGGCAAUGGGGGAAACCCUGACCGAGCGACGCCGCGUGUGAGAUGAAGGCCUUCGGGUUGUAAAUCACUGUCGUAGAGGAGGAAAUGUAGGUGGGUUCUCCCAUCUAUUUGACCUAUUCUAGGAGGAAGGACGGGCUAAGUUCGUGCCAGCCGCCGCGGUAA